AUCACAGCAUUACGAGUGACUGUCGCUAUAGUCACUUUGGCAAUACCAUGGCAAGCUCUAUUUCGUGAUUAUGACGUAAUUUUUGGAUGACGUAUUUAGGAAUGCUAUAUGCAAGAAUUGUUGCGCCCACUAGAAGUUAUUGAGAUGAGCAAAAUUGUAUGUGCAAUAUCUGGAGGCGUUGAUAGUGCUGUUGCUGCUUUGCUUCUGAAACAAAAGGGAUAUAAGGUGUUGGGAGCUUUCAUGAGGAACUGGGAUUUGAGAGAUGAAACUGGUCAUUGUUCCAUGGAAGAAGAUCAUCACUAUGCGGAACGAGUUUGUAGCACAUUGAAAAUUCCUUUUCAUUGUGUUAAUUUUGUUAAAGAAUAUUGGAAUAAUGUGUUUGAAGAAACAAUUGAUGAAUAUGAGUAUGGCCGUACACCAAAUCCUGAUGUUUUAUGUAAUCAACAUAUUAAAUUUGAUGCGUUCCUAAAGUAUGCAAAGUCAAAACUAAAUACCCCAACUAUUGCCACAGGACACUAUGCGAGGACAAGUGAAAAUUUUUUACCAGCUGGUGUUCAGUCUCCAAACGACUUCAAGAAGUGUCACUCUUCACAUACUGGUGAAAGAAAUGAUGGUUGUCUCUAUAAAGCCAUAGAUGAGAACAAAGAUCAAACUUUUUUUUUGAAUAAAAUCUCAUCUUAUGCUCUCAAGCAUACAAUAUUCCCACUUGGUAGUUUAUAUAAAGAUACUGUAAAGACGAUAGCAUCAAAAAAUAAUCUUGGGUUUAUUGCCAAGAGAAAAGAGAGCAUGGGAAUUUGUUUUAUUGGAUUGCGGGAUUUUGACAGUUUUAUACAAGAUUAUAUUCAACCAAAAGCUGGAAAUUUCGUUCUCCUAGAAACUGGGGAAUUGAUGGGUGCUCACAAUGGUUAUUUUAAAUAUACCAUUGGUCAACGAUCCCGAAUUUCUGGUUCACAUGUACCAUAUUUUGUAGUGGGGAAAAAUAUUCAAAGUGGUGAUAUCUUUGUAGCAGGUGGGACAAAUCACCUUUGUCUUUUUAGUAAUGCCUUAAUCAUGGAAGCGCCUCACUGGAUAAGUGAAGGACAUGUUUUAUCUAGUGAUAUAAAUAUACGGGAAUGUGAAGCUCGUUUGAUGCACAGAGAACCUUUAGUAUGCAGUAAGCUGUAUGAACUAGCAGAAGGAAAGUGCCUUCUUAUUUUGAAACAACCGUUACGUGCUAUAACUCCUGGACAAGCUGUUGUUUUGUAUUCCGGCAAUAAAUGUCUAGGGGGUUCAAAAAUACUUAAUGUUGGUCCUUCUGUUUAUGAAUGUGCAAAUAAUGGAUUAAAGUUUGCUCCGUAUAGGUGCGAUUCUGAUAUAUGGUACAAUAUUUUCCAUAAUUAUGGUGACCAAAUACUACCUUGUUCGCCAAAUAUCAUGGAUGACAUUAAUGAUUAUCAGAAUAUGUUAAAGAAAUAUAACUAACGAUACAGGGUGGAACUGGAGCUUAUUAUUCAGCUGAAUGGAGUUAGAACAGAUUGGAACACAGAUGGCCAAGUUGACUAAAAUAAGUACAGCUGAAAUGGAAAACAAGAAAUUAAUACUGAAUGAAUCAAUGGAGAUAAAUUUGCAAACUAUCCCAGAUAAACUGCUUAUAGAUUAGAAAGAGUAAUUCGACAUAUGAACUAUGCAUCACGACAAUGAAUGAUGAAUUGUAGUAACUGCUAUGUAUUUCAAAACUAUGUUUGUUUGCAAGUACCUUUGAUGCACUGUAACAUAUGCCUUGCUGCUGUAUACUUUCAUUUGAUAUUACAAACUUGCUUGUCAAGAAUAACUUUCCCUGUAUAUUUAAUAUUUUACACAGGCAAACUUGGAGAAUUUUAGCUUGAUGCAAAUGAAAUUUUAUCAGAAUGUUCUCAAUUUUCAGAACAUUAUAAUAAAGUUCAAGAAGCAGUCAUUCUCUUUCUGCAUAUAUACUAGCUAUCAUGAACUGUCAAAGACUGAAGUUGUCAUUAAUCUCUAAAGUAAUGUACUCCACUGAAAACCUGCUGAACACUGCCAGUGAUGAUGAAGGUCCAGAGGGUCUACUUUAUGAUGCUCUAUACAAAAGUGAUACUAUCCAAUCGACUUGCAUCGGUGAAGAAAAUGCUGAACAGUUACAAAACCCAUGUGAGAAUCUUGAGAAUAAUGAUCCUGCAAACAUCAAGAAUAACAAAUCAUUGAAUCACUAUUGCAAGCAUAAUGGAACAGCUAGAUUAUUUAGAAAGAAUAUUAAUCUAAAAAAAUUAAAACAAUUGCAUUCUACUCUGCUGAAAGAUAAUCUUAGGAUCAGAGAGUCCAUCAGUUCAUUUAGAGCAAAAAUUUUGAACUAUCCCCAGGAAAGAAUUAGAUUAUUAGAUAAAAUUCGAAAGCAUCGUGGAGAAGUGGGCCAAAUCUUACCAGUUACAAAUUCAUCUUGUACCAAAUCAACGAUGGAAUAUCUAAAGGCAUUAGCAGCUGAGACAAAGUACUAUAAGACCGGUAGACCACAUUAGAAAAAUUGAGAUUGUAAAUAAACAGUUGUCAUGAAUAGUAGAAUAUUAUCAUUUAACGAAGAAUCUGCCAUCCUUUACAUCCCUGGAGAAGCGCAGGAGAAAACAGCAGAAGGGGAACUUUAUGAUCUAGUGACAGAAGGUUCCAUGCCCAUUUACCAAAUGUCAGAUUGUGGAGAAGAUGUUCAGAAGAAUGCUGAUAAAAAUAAUAAGGUAAUGAAAUCAAGAAAAA